rnacentral:rRNA from 1 species
CUACUAAGAGCAGAAGAGAAUGGGUGGUAUAUCGCGGAGCAUAGAGACACACACAACCAUUCGCUUUCACCUAAUUUUGGUGAAACAAUCCACUGGCCUUCAUGCAAACACAUAGAUGUUUACACCAGGGAUCUUGUGAAGCAGUUAAGGCAGAACAAUGUCAACCUUGCAGAGGUGUACAACAUCAUAGGAGGUUUCGUUGGGUUGAUGGAAAAUGUUCCAUUCACGAAGAGGUCUCUGCGUAAUUUGUGUGGCAAGACAAAUAGGGACCAGGCAGAUGAAGAGGAUGUAAACAAGACGAUGGAUGUGUUUGCGGAGAUUGGAGCUAAAGAUCCGCACUUCACAUACAGGGUUCAAGCUGACAGUGAGGGUAGGGUCAAGAAUCUGAUGUGGGCAACUGGUAGCAGCAGGCUGCAGUACAACUUCAUUGGCGAUGUCAUAACAUUCGACACAACUUACAGGACGAACUUGUAUGACAUGCCUUUCGGCCUUUUUGUUGGCGUGAACAAUCACUUUCAAAGUGUGAUUUUGGCUAGUAUUCUUGCUCGCGAUGAUACCCAAGAGAGUUUGGAGUGGGUCUUUUCAGAAUUCCCAAGAAUGAUGGGUGGUUCUCCACCCAUGACCAUACUUAAAGGUAUUUUUCUCUGA